UCAUAUUUGUCUCUUUAGAUCAUCGAAUAAACCUUACAACAAAACCUUUCUUUUCAUUAUUGUUUACCUACCUUUUAUUACUUUUUAUUUCCUAGCUGACCUUUCAUAAUAUAUGGGUAUAUAUAUAUUGGGGGAAUAUCAAGUGGGAAUGACAAUUUUGUAUGAGAAUGGUAGGAAUGGUUUUCAACCCUUAGAUCAAAAUGAAUGAUCAAGAUUAAAAGGACAAAUUGAUUUGCACGUGUCUUUGUCUUCCGCAAGUCCAGAACUAAAAGCACAUCAUUUCUUUUUAUGAACCACCACUCUAGAUCUCACCCCAGAGGAAUAACCCGGCUACCGGCUGCACCAAACCAACCAAUGGACCACAAUAAAUUAUAUAUGCCACCCAUGACAUGAACAUUAUAACCUUUGAUUUUAUUUUUUGUAGUUGAAUUCGAGGCACAACCUACUUACAAAGCUAUAAUGUAGAAGGAAGCAUGUAACAUCUUCUACUAUAGGGUAAUCCUUCAAUAACUAAUUUGAAAGUCUUGUGAUUUAAGUUAAACAAAGGGAUUUACAUAUUCUUGGAGGUUGACAUGAGUGCAUUGAAGCAAAUGGGAGAAAAAUCAAAAAUGGCCUCAUAGAGCUUGCAAUUCUUAUGGUAAUUGUCAUCAAUUUGUGGCUUAUGUUCAAAUGCCUAUUACAGAGCAUAUGUUACAAAUACUUUGGUUGGUUGAUCGCAUGAAAAUUAAUAAGGUAAAUAACCAUUGUAUUCAAAUAUAAGCAUCAAGAAGAAUAAACUUUGACAUAGACAUCCGACACGACACAUAUACUCAUACGUCGACACCACUAAUUUAAAAAACACAUGACACCGACAUCGCUACAUAUUUUUUUAUUUAUUUAUGAAAAAUUAAAAUUGAUAAUCAGUUUAUUUAUGUGUGCAUCUAAAUUUAUCAAUUUAUUUCAUUUUAAAAAAAAGUUCUAAACAAAAUUAAAAUAGGAUAGUUUUUAACAUUUUAUUUAUAUUUAUCCAUCUACUAUAAAAAAAAAAAAAAAAAAAACUAAAAAUGUUCUAAUCAAAUUUAAUUUCUUUGACCCCUCAUUGAAUAACAAUGAUCCUUCACAACAUUUUUAACUCUUGUAAAUGUGUUUGAGAUAUAUCUUUAAGGCUUUGUUUCAGAAUUUGGAGGGGAGAAAAAUGAAGACUUUGGAGGGUUGGAAAUAUAUAGGAAAAUGGUAAAAUCUUUCACAUUUUCUGAAAGAGUAAUUUUUUAGAGAAUGAUAAAUCAAUGCUUAUGAUUAAUAUUUUUUUAAUUUUAAAAAUAUUAUAACUACAUGUAUUAAAUUUGAAAAAUUCAUGUAAACCCUCCAGAACCCCUUAAAACCAUGAGGGUUUUGUAGUAUGAAGAAAAAUGAACGCCCCAAAGCCUUUCCCUCUUAAUGUCAUCUAUUUUUUCCACUUGCCCUUUCUUUUUUUCCAUAAAGAAUUUUUUUUUGAAACAAAGUGUCAAAAAACUUUUUUUGUCAUACAAGUGUGAUUCGGGUGUCGAACACCUCUAUCCAAAGAGUUCCAAAUAAAUAGUAAAUAUUUUUUGGAUACUUGUAUGAUAUUUUUUGACACGUUUCAAACAAAUGUCAUAUGAGUGUUGGAAAUCGAUGUGUAUCGGACACCGCGACACGUCUGAGCUUAUGGGUGUCAGUGGUUCAUAUAUUAAUACAAAUUUAAUCUAAACUUGGAUCCCCUAAUUUGUAUUUUUUUUUACAAACCUUGAGUUAUACUUUGUGCUUCGAGUUAGUUAUUAAAACUAUAUUUGCGUCCUUCCUUCCCUAUUUCAUUCUCACUCCUAUUUUACUGGAUUUUAGCUUAUGGUACUUGUUAUUUAGGAGAUGCUGGAGAAAUGAUGAAGGGACAAAAGAGGAUAUAUAUAAUUUUGAUUUGAAUAUAUUUGUGAAUAAUGGGGAGAUUUUAGUAUUAAGGUGAAAGAUUGAUAGAAAUAGGCAGAAAAUGGUAACCAAACAAAUUUUCAAUUCAAGGAAGAUGUAUUGCUUCGUAGAGGAUCGCCACAAGAAACGUGGUUUUUUGAUAAGAUAAAUUCAUGGUUCAAUCUAGAACCCAAAAGAAGUAAAGCUUCCAAAUUCACAUAAAGUGACAUUUUUUCUUAUCAAAAUUCAUCUGCCUUACGUAUCAUUUUCGUGCUCUAUUUAUAUGAUUUUAUUACAUGAUGAUUUUGAUUCUAAAACUCUUAGAAAAUAAAAGGAAAUGCAUCUAUUAAUUGCAAAUUUGCAAUAAUGUUUUGCUGGCUGAUUAAGACAAGGAAGACUACACUUUAGAUAGACUUUUAGUUGGUUGAUUUUAUUUUCAGUUGUAUGCUUCAGUCAAUCCCCUCAAUUUCACCUCCUUAUAGUCAUCGUUAAGUGCUGGAUUGAAUGCUCGUUCCUUCCUUUUUUCAGCUCUUUAUUUGAAUCACGUCUGAAACUUCAAGCCCAUUUUUUACAGAAAAAUAUGUCGAUUUUGAUCUUGACCCCAAAAGAUGAAAUGCAGAUAAAUUUCUAAGCUUUCCAACAAAUUAAAGAUUGCAUCAAUCGGACAUCGACAUCUCUAGAUAUGGACAAAACAAGACAGAUAUAUAAUGAUCUAUACGAAUAUAAAAACUUUGAACCAAAAAUAAUUUGGUUCUCUUAUGCCAUAAUAACUUAAUGAUUAUUUUCAAGGGAGAGGAUAUUAGGAUCACAUCAAGAAACUUAUUAGCUUGUGGUGCGUGUUAUUUAUGACAUGCUAUAGUGGAAAUUUCAAUAUUUAUUAUGUGAACAAACAAUCAAAAUCUGAUACACUUAAACUUCAAGUUGAUAUGACUAGUUUAUUAUCAAAUCAUAUUUGUCGUCAAAUUGAUCUGGUAUGUUUCAAGUAUUUCUUUUGGUAUAUUUUUCAUUGAUUGGGUCUGCAUAGAACUAGUAAUUGUAUUUGAUAAGGUCAACUAUAUCUAGAUAAAUUGAUGACAAUUUUUAUCCCUCAACUUGAUAGGUAAAUAGAUUGAAAAGAUCAUGUAUGACAAGGAAAAUGUUUUUGGUGGUAAUGAUAUUCAUGCAUGCCUCUCUUUCAUUAUACUUUGUGAUUUACAACAAUAUUAAAUGCUCUAGUGUGGUUAAAUGGAUAGGCAACGAUGAUCAAAGUUGUUUCAGGUUCCAUGGUUUGUUGUGGUGCAUGGUUUGGGUGUUUGAUCAAUUAUUCCUUUUGAUUUGUUGUAUGAUUCUUAACUUGUGUGAUCAUAAAAGUUGAAAUUUGAGCAGUAAUAUUGUAAUAUGAUUAGUACUUUGAAUUCGAUUUAUAUUUUGUUAUUAUGUUCUUUUAUAAUGAAUAAGUUAAAUGAUUUGUAUAGUAUUUUUUUGGGAUUACUGAA
rnacentral:lncRNA from 1 species